UACGGGGGGAGCAAGCGUUGUUCGGAUUUACUGGGCGUAAAGGGCGCGUAGGCGGCCACCGCAAGUCGACUGUGAAAUCUCCGGGCUUAACCCGGAAAGGUCAGCCGAUACUGCGGGGCUAGAGUGCAGAAGGGGCAACUGGAAUUCUCGGUGUAGCGGUGAAAUGCGUAGAUAUCGAGAGGAACACCUGCGGCGAAGGCGGGUUGCUGGGCUGACACUGACGCUGAAGUGCGAAAGCUAGGGGAGCGAACGGG
rnacentral:rRNA from 1 species